rnacentral:rRNA from 1 species
AGUGAGGAAUAUUGGACAAUGGGCGGGAGCCUGAUCCAGCCAUGCCGCGUGCAGGAUGACGGCCCUAUGGGUUGUAAACUGCUUUUAUACGGGAAGAAACGCACCUACGUGUAGGUGUCUGACGGUACCGUAAGAAUAAGGACCGGCUAACUCCGUGCCAGCAGCCGCGGUAAUACGGAGGGUCCGAGCGUUAUCCGGAAUCAUUGGGUUUAAAGGGUCCGUAGGCGGGCCUGUAAGUCAGGGGUGAAAGUUUGUGGCUCAACCAUAAAAUUGCCUUUGAUACUGCAGGUCUUGAGUCAUGGUGGGGUUGCCGGAACAUGUGGUGUAGCGGUGAAAUGCAUAGAUAUCACAUAGAACACCGAUCGCGAAGGCAGGUGACCAACCAUGUACUGACGCUGAUGGACGAAAGCGUGGGUAGCGAACGGGAUUAGAUACCCCGGUAGUCCACGCCGUAAACGAUGGAUACUAGCUGUGGGGACUUCGGUCUCCGUGGCCAAGCGAAAGUGAUAAGUAUCCCACCUGGGGAGUACGUUCGCAAGAAUGAAACUCAAAGGAAUUGACGGGGGCCCGCACAAGCGGUGGAGCAUGUGGUUUAAUUCGAUGAUACGCGAGGAACCUUACCAGGGCUUAAAUGCAGGCUGCAUGGGGUGGAGACACCCCUUUCUUCGGACUGCCUGCAAGGUGCUGCAUGGUUGUCGUCAGCUCGUGCCGUGAGGUGUCAGGUUAAGUCCUAUAACGAGCGCAACCCCUACCGUUAGUUGCCAGCAUGUAAAGAUGGGGACUCUAACGGGACUGCCGGUGCAAACCGUGAGGAAGGUGGGGACGACGUCAAAUCAUCACGGCCCUUACGUCCUGGGCUACACACGUGCUACAAUGGCCGGUACAGAGGGAAGCCACCCCGCAAGGGGGCGCGGAUCUACAAAACCGGUCACAGUUCGGAUCGGGGUCUGCAACUCGACCCCGUGAAGCUGGAAUCGCUAGUAAUCGGAUAUCAGCCAUGAUCCGGUGAAUACGUUCCCGGGCCUUGUACACACCGCCCGUCAAGCCAUGGAAGCCGGGAGUGCCUGAAGUCCGUCACCGCAAGGAGCGGCCUAGGGCAAAAUCGGUAACUAGGGCU